rnacentral:tRNA from 1 species
AAAAAUGAAGCUAAAACUUUAGCUAUUAAUUUCGACUUAAUAAUAUAAUAAUAUAAAUUUAUUCAUUUUUA